AUUGAACGCUGGCGGCAGGCUUAACACAUGCAAGUCGAGCGAGCGGCGGACGGGUGAGUAAUGUCUGGGAAACUGCCUGAUGGAGGGGGAUAACUACUGGAAACGGUAGCUAAUACCGCAUACCAUCAGAUGUGCCCAGAUGGGAUUAGCUAGUAGGUGGGGUAAUGGCUCACCAAGUCGACGAUCCCGAGCUGGUAUGAGAGGCUGACCAGACAAACGGGAGUGGAGACACGAUCCAGACUCCUACGGGAGGCAGCAGUGGGGAAUAUAGCGCAAUGGGAGCAAGCCUGAUGCAGCUAUGCGGCGUGGAUGAAGAAGGGCUGCGGGUUGUAAAGCAAUUUCAGCGAGGAGGCGUUACUCGCAGAAGAAGCACCGGCUAAGUCCGAGCCAGCAGCCGCGGUAAUAC
rnacentral:rRNA from 1 species